GGCCAGCAGUCACGAAUGGGAGCAGGAGCCCGGGGGCUCCGACAGCACCGCUCGGAUCUUCCCUGCCUCGCGCGGUGCUCCAGGACCAGUGCCCCCAUGAUUCACUUCUGCCUGGUCCACACUGCCUGUCACUUGCACUGCCGGCUGCCGAGAUCUCACUGGCUCAGCCAGGUGACGGUGUUCUUGUUCGGGAUCGCCACUCUGGCCCUCCAGUUCUACGUCCUGCUCAGGCCCCGAUCUUCUCGAUACUGCAGCCAACCUCUCCUGACCAACUUGGUUGCUAACAUCAUCUUUACUUUCUUCACAAUCGGUUUCACGGUGCUGCUUACUCACGUGCAGCCGGCCCCGCAGGCACUAAAGGGGAUGUUCUCCGUCUUUGGUGUGGGGUCCUUCGGAGUGGGAGCCUGCACUGUGGUGCUGACGGGCUUGGCUGCUGACUGCGAAAAAACAACCCCUGAACUUUACUAUUUGUCUGUGCUCCUGUCAGUCAGCAGCCUGGCUUCCACGGUGCUUUCCUCAGGCAUGGGGCUGAUGUGGCUGUCCAGGGUGACCUGUCCAAAGCCAGACGCCAAGCCAACAGUCUAAAGCUGGCCUCUGAGUCCUGCUGGUCUCCUGCCUCAGAGAUGUGACUAGGGCUGGCUGUCCCCGCAGCUCGACGACCCAUCGCAAGCACACAAUGGUCUCCUACCCUGCUCUGCCUAGGGGAACCACAGCUGAACAUCAGAGCAGACAACAGGAAGCACUGCAAGACCAGACAUCUGGAACAGAGUUGCCUUUAAGGAUUAUCAAGCAGGGGCAAAAGACAAAGAGGAACUGCAAACUGCAAACACAGGAUCACACUACAACCAAACUCACUGCAAAUAAGGACUUCUUUUUUUUUUUUUUUUCUGUUACAGUUUUCUGUUUAGAUUUUAUUUGAAAUCAAGUUCAAAUUUUCAAAGUUACAAAAGGAAGAAGAUAGCUGUAUUACUUUUGCUAAGUCACAACAUCCUAAAACGAAAUAUUACCACUGUUAGCAGAAAAGAAUCCCCUUUUAAAUACUUUCAAAAUCAUUACUUGGACAAUGAAAGGCCCUGGAAGUAAUUGUUAGGAUUGGAAGAAACAAUGUAAAAACAACAGGGCUCUUGCACUCUCUAGACCUCACCAACCAAAAUGUUAACAUGUCAGAUAGAUUUCAGGUUAUCUCAAGGCAGUUUCUAUUGGAAGUUUCUUUUUCCCCUGAACUUUCUAUCUUGCCCCCCACAACCUUAAUCGACCUGUAGAUCUCAGUCCAUGACAAUUCCACCAUCCCAGCUGCUGAAGCCCAAAUACCUCGAAUUAUGCAUUUCAUUUAUUUAUUUUUUACAGGCAGAGUGGACAGUGAGAGAGAGAGACAGAGAGAAAGGUCUUCCUUUUUCCGUUGGUUCACCCUCCAAUGGCUGUCGCGGCCGGCA